AUUGAACGCUGGCGGCAUGCCUAACACAUGCAAGUCGAACGGCAGCACAGUAAAGAUUUCGGUCUUUAUGGGUGGCGAGUGGCGGACGGGUGAGGAAUACGUAGGCAUUUGCCUUGAAGUGGGGGAUAGCCCGGGGAAACCCGGAUUAAUACCGCAUGAUCUCGCGAGAGCAAAGCCGGGGACCGCAAGGCCUGGCGCUUUGAGAGACGCACAAGUCGGAUUAGCUAGGUGGUGGGGUAAAGGCCUACCAAGGAGACGAUCUGUAGCAGGUCUGAGAGGACGACCAGCCACACUGGGACUGAGACACGGCCCAGACUCCUACGGGAGGCAGCAGUGGGGAAUUUUGGACAAUGGGCGCAAGCCUGAUCCAGCCAUGCCGCGUGCGGGAAGAAGGCCUUCGGGUUGUAAACCGCUUUUGUCAGGGAAGAAACGCUCUGGGAUAAUACCCUGGGGUAAUGACGGUACCUGAAGAAUAAGCACCGGCUAACUACGUGCCAGCCGCCGCAGUAA
rnacentral:rRNA from 1 species